UACAGGGGGGCAAGCGUUGUUCGGAAUUACUGGGCGUAAAGGGCUCGUAGGCGGCCAACUAAGUCACACGUGAAAUCCCCAGGCUUAACCUGGGAACUGCGUGUGAUACUGGAUGGCUUGAAUCCGGGAGAGGGAUGCAGAAUUCCAGGUGUAGCGGUGAAAUGCGUAGAUAUCUGGAGGAAUACCGGUGGCGAAGGCGGCAUCCUGGACCAAUACUGACGCUGAGGCGGCGAAAAGCUAGGGGAGCAAACGGGG
rnacentral:rRNA from 1 species